GCCUGGGUGGCUCAGUCAGUUGAGCGUCUGACUUCAGCUCAGGUCAUGAUCUCACAGCUUUUGGGUUCGAGCUCCACGUCGGGCU
rfam:Felis catus isolate Cinnamon breed Abyssinian chromosome A2, whole genome shotgun sequence.